UGGGGAAUAUUGGACAAUGGGGGAAACCCUGAUCCAGCAAUGCCGCGUGAGUGAAGAAGGCCUUAGGGUUGUAAAGCUCUUUUGUGGGGGAGGAAGGAUGUUGUGUGAAUAGCGCAGCAUUUUGACGUUACCCCAAGAAUAAGCACCGGCUAACUCUGUGCCAGCAGCCGCGGUAAUACAGAGGGUGCGAGCGUUAAUCGGAAUGACUGGGCGUAAAGGGUGCGUAGGUGGUUUGUUAAGUUAGCUGUGAAAGCCCCGGGCUCAACCUGGGAAUAGCAGCUAAAACUGAUGAGCUAGAGUAGGUGAGAGGAGUGUGGAAUUUCCGGUGUAGCGGUGAAAUGCGUAGAGAUCGGAAAGAACACCAGUGGCGAAGGCGGCACUCUGG
rnacentral:rRNA from 1 species